UCCACUUCACUGCCUGCGAGUCAGUAGGGUCUGGACCGGGUAGGAGGCGGGGCCCAGGCUGAGUCAUCAGUCUAACCCAGUCUCUGGGGUCUGACCCCCUGGGCUGCCUGCCCCUGGGCUCCUUAGCUCCAGCGAUGGGCGAAGCUCUUUCACAGUCUUCAUCCUCUUGUCUGUCUCUCCUAGCGCCGCCCUACACCAUCGUCCACUUCCCGACCCGAGGAGUGGUCCCAGUUGAGGGUGUGCAGUGAGCUGUGCACCUCCCCAAGUACCAGGAAGGAUACCUCACUCUGUACCAGUCCAGUGUUAUCCUGCAUCACCUUGGCUGCACCUUUGGAGGAGCGCAAACUCAGGGUGUUUGGGAGCUGCAAGGCACCUGAAGCCUUUUGAGACCCUCUGGCCCAGAACCAGGGAUGACAGGCAUUCAUCAUGGGCGACCAGGUUUCCUUCACCGACCACAACCUGCUGGACUUGCUGCUGGCCCACCAGGUCCUGGUGAGGCAGGAGAAUAGCGUCUGGAGGCAGGGAACCUAAGGCUGUUUCACGCCAACUUCCUAGAACUAAAUUGAAAGGAAAACUUUCCAGCCUAAGUAACAAAAGGACCAGAUGCUGCUCCAUUUGACGUUUUCUGCACAGCAGAUGGGAAAUUGGCUGUCCCCAACAAAUCAGACUGGUUGUGAGUGGGGUCUUCGUUUGCAACUUUGUAACUUCACUCCAGCCUAUGAAUGGUUGCUGUCCACAACCAGACUGAUUGCGGGUGAAAUCUUCGUUUUCAUAUAACUUUGUAACAUAACCCUAGCAAAGGUUUCAUCCAAUCAGAUGUUGGCACAGGAAUGUGACCUUUGUAACUUCACGUCCUCUGAUUGGCUGCUUUCUGCAACCAAUCAGAUUGUGGGCUACCACUUCGUUUACAUGAGGUGAGCAUGAAGUGACCAAUGGGAAACUUCUAGGGGGUAUUUGGACCCAAGAAGAUUCUGUAUCCGGGCCCUUGAGCUGCUGCUGGGCCCACUAUCACGCUGUGGAGUGUACUUUUGUUUUCAGUAAAUCUCUGCUUUUAGGUCAGGCGUGGUGGCUCACUCCUGUAAUCCCAGCACUCUGAGAGGCCAAAGCGGGUGGAUCACCUGAGGUCAGGAGUUUGA